AACGAACGCUGGCGGCAUGCCUAACACAUGCAAGUCGAACGAGAUCUUCGGGUCUAGUGGCGCACGGGUGCGUAACGCGUGGGAAUCUGCCCUUUGGUUCGGAAUAACAGUUGGAAACGACUGCUAAUACCGGAUGAUGACGAAAGUCCAAAGAUUUAUCGCCAGAGGAUGAGCCCGGGUAGGAUUAGCUAGUUGGUGUGGUAAAGGCGCACCAAGGCGACGAUCCUUAGCUGGUCUGAGAGGAUGAUCAGCCACACUGGGACUGAGACACGGCCCAGACUCCUACGGGAGGCAGCAGUGGGGAAUAUUGGACAAUGGGCGAAAGCCUGAUCCAGCAAUGCCGCGUGAGUGAUGAAGGCCUUAGGGUUGUAAAGAUCUUUUACCCGGGAUGAUAAUGACAGUACCGGGAGAAUAAGCUCCGGCUAACUCCGUGCCAGCAGCCGCCGCCG
rnacentral:rRNA from 1 species